rnacentral:rRNA from 1 species
GUGGGGUAAUGGCCUACCAAGGCGACGACGGGUAGCCGGCCUGAGAGGGCGACCGGCCACACUGGGACUGAGACACGGCCCAGACUCCUACGGGAGGCAGCAGUGGGGAAUAUUGCACAAUGGGCGAAAGCCUGAUGCAGCGACGCCGCGUGAGGGAUGAAGGCCUUCGGGUUGUAAACCUCUUUCAGCAGGGACGAAGCGAAAGUGACGGUACCUGCAGAAGAAGCGCCGGCCAACUACGUGCCAGCAGCCGCGGUAAGACGUAGGGCGCGAGCGUUGUCCGGAAUUAUUGGGCGUAAAGAGCUCGUAGGCGGCUUGUUGCGUCGGCUGUGAAAACCCGCGGCUCAACCGUGGGCUUGCAGCCGAUACGGGCAGGCUAGAAUUCGGUAGGGGAGACUGGAAUUCCUGGUGUAGCGGUGAAAUGCGCAGAUAUCAGGAGGAACACCGGUGGCGAAGGCGGGUCUCUGGGCCGAUAUUGACGCUGAGGAGCGAAAGCGUGGGGAGCGAACAGGAUUAGAUACCCUGGUAGUCCACGCUGUAAACGUUGGGCGCUAGGUGUGGGGGACCUCUCCGGUUCUCUGUGCCGCAGCUAACGCAUUAAGCG